AGCCCCCCUCAAGAUGAGAUUUCCCAUCGCGUCAAGCGAGUAAGAUCCCUUGAAGAUGACAAGGUAGAUAGGUCCGAGGUGGAAGCGUGGCGACACGUGCAGCUGACGGAUACUAAUCGAUCGAGGAUUUAACUAAG
rnacentral:rRNA from 1 species